rnacentral:rRNA from 1 species
UACGUAGGGUGCAAGCGUUGUCCGGAAUUAUUGGGCGUAAAGAGCUCGUAGGCGGCUGCUCAAGUCGAAUGUGAAAACUCGAGGCUCAACCUCGAGCCUGCAUUCGAUACUGGGCGGCUAGAGUCUGGUAGGGGGAUCUGGAAUUCCUGGUGUAGCGGUGGAAUGCGUAGAUAUCUGGAGGAACACCGGUGGCGAAGGCGGCAUCCUGGACCGGGUAUUGACACUGAGGCGCGAAAGCCAGGGGAGCAACGGG